rnacentral:rRNA from 1 species
AGUGAACGCUGGCGGUAGGCCUAACACAUGCAAGUCGAACGGCAGCACAGUAAGAGCUUGCUCUUACGGGUGGCGAGUGGCGGACGGGUGGGGAAUACAUCGGCAUCUACUUUUUCGUGGGGGAUAACGUAGGGAACCUUACGCUAAUACCGCAUACUACCUACGGGUGAGAGCAGGGGAUCUUCGGACCUUGCGCGAUUGCAUGAGCCGAUGUCGGAUUAGCUCGUUGGCGGGGUAAAGGCCCACCAAGGCGACGAUCCGUCGCUGGUCUGAGAGGAUGAUGAGCGACACUGGAACUGAGACACGGUCCAGACUCCUACGGGAGGCAGCAGUGGGGAAUAUUGGACAAAGGGCGCAAGCCUGAUCCAGCCAUACCGCGUGGGUGAAGAAGGCCUUCGGGUUGUAAAGCCCUUUUGUUGGGAAGGAAAAGCAGCAGGUUAAUACCCCGCUGUUCUGACGGUACCCAAAGAAUAAGCACCGGCUAACUUCGUG